GAUGAACGCUGGCGGCGUGCCUAACACAUGCAAGUCGAACGGGGUUGUUCCUUCGGGGACAACUUAGUGGCGAACGGGUGAGUAACGCGUGAGGAACCUGCCUUUCAGUGGGGGACAACAGUUGGAAACGACUGCUAAUACCGCAUAAUGUUAUUGAGUGGCAUCACUUGAUAACCAAAGCUUUAUGUGCUGAAAGAUGGCCUCGCGUCUGAUUAGAUAGUUGGUGAGGUAACGGCUCACCAAGUCGACGAUCAGUAGCCGGUCUGAGAGGAUGAACGGCCACAUUGGGACUGAGAUACGGCCCAGACUCCUACGGGAGGCAGCAGUGGGGAAUAUUGGGCAAUGGGGGAAACCCUGACCCAGCAACGCCGCGUGAAGGAAGAAGGCCUUCGGGUUGUAAACUUCUUUUAGCAGGGACGAAGAACGUGACGGUACCUGCAGAAAAAGCAACGGCUAACUACGUG
rnacentral:rRNA from 1 species